UGUUUUUCCUUUUCCUCUUCUUUCUGGUCUUUCCCAAAUACAAGUACUACUACACAUCAGAAUUGGGUGGCAACAAAACUCCACGUCCAGGUUAUGAUUUGUUUUUGCUUUAAUCCCCACUCAACAUCCUCCAAGGUCUUGUGUGAGAGGGGAAGAAGACACGGAGGAGAUGAAGAAUCAAGUGGCAGCGGGUAGUUCAAUGGAGAUGCAAAUGUCCGCUAGUCCAGAGGAACAAAGUGAUUUGGUAGUCGCCGACGAGGGUUUUCUUGGAAAACAAGACUAUGAAUAUAUGGAUCUAUUGAAUGAUUUUAAUGUCCUGGAAGAAUUUUCUAAUGAGGAAUUUGGGGUUUAAUAUUAGGAGGGAGUACGUGAGAAAAGAGUCAUCAGACAGUUGUGAUUGUGAAUCCAUCUUUACUGACGCCGCUGCUGGAUAGUGCAGUUUUGCGAGGAAUACUGCUGAUUGAGAGUCCAGCGGACCGUCCAUCUCCAUCCGGUGGUGACAGCCCCAGCGGGGCCUUUGGGAGAGACGGGGAGGGGUGAGGCAUUGGGGAGAGAGAACCAAAAAUAUACACGGAGUGGCAAAUUUUAUACCACUCGUCUACAAGUCGGAUUGUAGACCUAGUCUACACAAGUUUUUUCCUUAUGCCUUUUAUCUUCUGUCAUUUAUACAUAUUGACUAGAAAAUGGAAAAUGGAAAAUGGGAAAUGGGGUGUGUUUGAAUA